UAGGGGAGCCGUAGAGAAAUCGAGUCUUAAUAGGGCGUUUAGUUGCUGGGUAUAGACCCGAAACCAGGCGAUCUAUCCAUGAGCAGGUUGAAGGUUGGGUAACACUAACUGGAGGACCGAACCCACUGUCGUUGAAAAGCCAGGGGAUGACUUGUGGAUAGGGGUGAAAGGCUAAUCAAGCCUGGUGAUAGCUGGUUCUCCCCGAAAGCUAUUUAGGUAGCGCCUCGGACGAAUACCAUAGGGGGUAGAGCACUGUUUCGGCUAGGGGGUCAUCCCGACUUACCAAACCGAUGCAAACUCCGAAUACCUAUGAGUACUAUCCGGGAGACAGACUGCGGGUGCUAACGUCCGUAGUCAAGAGGAAAACAAUCCAGACCGCCAGCUAAGGCCCCAAAAUCAUAGUUAAGUGGGAAACGAUGUGGGAAGGCAUAGACAGCUAGGAGGUUGGCUUAGAAGCAGCCACCCUUUAAAGAAAGCGUAAUAGCUCACUAGUCGAGUCGGCCUGCGCGGAAGAUGUAACGGGGCUAAAACUAUGUGCCGAAGCUGCGGAUGUAUACUUUGUAUACGUGGUAGGGGAGCGUUCUGUAAGCCGAUGAAGGUGUGUUGAGAAGCAUGCUGGAGGUAUCAGAAGUGCGAAUGCUGACGUGAGUAACGACAAAACGGGUGAAAAACCCGUUCGCCGAAAGACCAAGGGUUCCAGUCCAACGUUAAUCGGGGCUGGGUGAGUCGACCCCUAAGGCGAGGCCGAAAGGCGUAGUCGAUGGGAAAAUGGUUAAUAUUCCAUUACUUCUGUGUAAUGCGAUGAGAGGACGGAGAAGGCUAAAUCAGCCUGGCGUUGGUUGUCCAGGUGAAAGGAUGUAGGCAUGUAUCUUAGGCAAAUCCGGGGUACUCUAUGCUGAGAUCUGAUAGCAAGCUGUACUUGUACAGCGAAGUGGUUGAUGCCAUGCUUCCAGGAAAAGUCUCUAAGCUUCAGUUACACAGGAAUCGUACCCGAAACCGACACAGGUGGUCAGGUCGAGUAGACCAAGGCGCUUGAGAGAACUCUGCUGAAGGAACUAGGCAAAAUGGUACCGUAACUUCGGGAGAAGGUACGCUGUUGUUGGUGAUGGAACUCGCUUCCUGAGCUGACGACAGCCGCAGAAACCAGGCCGCUGCAACUGUUUAUUAAAAACAUAGCACUCUGCAAACACGAAAGUGGACGUAUAGGGUGUGAUGCCUGCCCGGUGCUGGAAGGUUAAUUGAUGGGGUUAGCGUAAGCGAAGCUCUUGAUCGAAGCCCCAGUAAACGGCGGCCGUAACUAUAACGGUCCUAAGGUAGCGAAAUUCCUUGUCGGGUAAGUUCCGACCUGCACGAAUGGCAUAAUGAUGGCGGCGCUGUCUCCAGCAGAGGCUCAGUGAAAUCGAAAUCGCUGUGAAGAUGCAGUGUACCCGCGGCUAGACGGAAAGACCCCGUGAACCUUUACUGCAGCUUGACACUGAACUUUGACCUUACUUGUGUAGGAUAGGUGGGAGGCUUUGAAGCUGGAACGCUAGUUCCAGUGGAGCCGUCCUUGAAAUACCACCCUGGUAAUGUUGAGGUUCUAACUCUGUCCCGUGAUCCGGGACGAGGACCGUGUCUGGUGGGUAGUUUGACUGGGGCGGUCUCCUCCUAAAGAGUAACGGAGGAGUACGAAGGUGCGCUCAGCGUGGUCGGAAAUCACGCGUAGAGUAUAAAGGCAAAAGCGCGCUUAACUGCGAGACCCACAAGUCGAGCAGGUACGAAAGUAGGUCUUAGUGAUCCGGUGGUUCUGUAUGGAAGGGCCAUCGCUCAACGGAUAAAAGGUACUCUGGGGAUAACAGGCUGAUACCGCCCAAGAGUUCAUAUCGACGGCGGUGUUUGGCACCUCGAUGUCGGCUCAUCUCAUCCUGGGGCUGAAGCAGGUCCCAAGGGUAUGGCUGUUCGCCAUUUAAAGAGGUACGCGAGCUGGGUUUAGAACGUCGUGAGACAGUUCGGUCCCUAUCUACCGUGGGCGCUGGAAAUUUGAGAGGAUCUGCUCC
rnacentral:rRNA from 1 species